rnacentral:rRNA from 1 species
CCUACGGGAGGCAGCAGUGAGGAAUAUUGGUCAAUGGACGGAAGUCUGACCAGCCAUGCCGCGUGCAGGAAGACGGCUCUAUGAGUUGUAAACUGCUUUUGUAAAAGGGUAAACCUGGAUACGUGUAAUCAGGUGGAAGUACUGUACGAAUAAGGAUCGGCUAACUCCGUGCCAGCAGCCGCGGUAAUACGGAGGAUCCAAGCGUUAUCCGGAUUUAUUGGGUUUAAAGGGUGCGUAGGCGGAUUGAUAAGGUAGAGGUGAAAUGUCCGAGCUUAACUCGGGAACUGCCUCUAAUACUGUUGAUCUAGAGAGUAGAUGCGGUAGGCGGAAUGUAUGGUGUAGCGGUGAAAUGCUUAGAGAUCAUACAGAACACCGAUUGCGAAGGCAGCUUACCAAUCUAUAUCUGACGUUGAGGCACGAAAGCGUGGGGAGCAAACAGGAUUAGAUACCCGAGUAGUC